GAUGAACGCUGGCGGCGUGCCUAAUACAUGCAAGUCGAGCGAACAGACGAGGAGCUUGCUCCUCUGACGUUAGCGGCGGACGGGUGAGUAACACGUGGAUAACCUACCUAUAAGACUGGGAUAACUUCGGGAAACCGGAGCUAAUACCGGAUAAUAUAUUGAACCGCAUGGUUCAAUAGUGAAAGACGGUUUUGCUGUCACUUAUAGAUGGAUCCGCGCCGCAUUAGCUAGUUGGUAAGGUAACGGCUUACCAAGGCGACGAUGCGUAGCCGACCUGAGAGGUUGACAGCCAACCCUGUACUUGAGACUAGACCCAGUCUCCUCGGGAGGGCCACAGCAGGUAUUCGCCACAAAAGGCCAAAAGGGUACCGGACCAAGCCCGCAUAAAGUGGAGAGGUUUGCGAAAGGUAAAACUUUUUAUUAGGGGAAGACAAAAUUGGGAGGUAACUAUGGCCCUUUUGACGGUACCAAAGCAAAAAACCACGGCUAACAACCU
rnacentral:rRNA from 1 species